UUGAGGAGAGCUUGGUAAAUACAAAGAUUUCCCUAAAUCAGGUUACCGCGUCUCUCCUUCCCGGCUGUACCAUUUAGCCUCGGUUCCGGGAUGAGUAUCACAGCCGUAACUCAGCAGAGGAAAGCUCUGCUGGGGCUCUGCCUUCUCUCCCUCGCUCCCAGCCCCCGAUGACCGCACUGUGAUGGACCCUUUCAGCAAAAGUUUCCCCGUGUUUUGCUCUGCUCCUUUUAUCAGAAGGCAAAACUGCUCCUAAGGAAAAGAGGACAAGCUGCCGCCUUCAUGGGGGUGGUGGCAGGGAGGAGAGCAGGGCACCCAGACUCAGGGCUGCUGGAGUGGCAAACAGGAGAAGAGAGUUCAUUCGAGCUACAGCAUGAAGAGUGAGAAGGAGGAGGUGGAAAACAAAGAGGAGAGAGAGGAGCAGUCUGUGAAGGUGACCCCAGCUUCUACCUGAGUGCUGCAUGCCCUGCCUUCCUCACCCCAACUCCCUUCUCAAAGGACCAUUGGAUGCACUGCCCACUCACUCCUCUCCUCUCCAACCUCCCCCUUCACUUUGAAGAAGUUAUUUCUUGAAAUGGGUUUGCUCCGAGCAGAGAAGCUGCCUACAGUACUUGCAGACAGUUAGCUGUUGCUCCUGGGUAGAUCUCACCAUUGGUUUUACCCUUCAAAGGGGUGGUGUACCUUCAGGGUAUCAGGAUAUUAGAAUUCUCCUCUAGGCCCUGGAGUGAGUGCAUCUCCUGCCCUGAGUGGGGGGGCUCACCCAUGGGCAGGGAGCUCUGAGAUUUGAAGGUACUUGUGUUUCAGUGUUACACAAGCCUGAGUUUCUCUACCUGAGAGUACUUUCACAAGAUGUAAUUGUUGGAUCACUUGUAACUCUUCAGGAGCAUCAGAGCACUUGGGUCCUGACCUGUGCAACUUUUUUUCUUGGCCAUGCAGAACAUUUUGCCUGGAUUUCACAGCAGAGUUAAUAGAUAGCUGUCUGGCCACCUCAGAUGAGGUGCUAGAAAAGGAAACCAGAUUUGGCACUGGAAGGUCUGAAGCAAGUUGUGGGCAUUCUGUGGCCCUGUGGGGCUGCUCCUGUGGGACAGAGAACAGCCACCCCAAAGCUGAGCCUCCCCCCAAGCUUCCCGUGAAGACCGAGACCUUGGCACUUGAGUGAAUAUUUUAACAUUCAUUAAUCAAGAUCAUCAUCAGCUUUAAAAGGGACAAUACCCGCCCCCUCUUCCCCUUAUUAUUAUUGUUAUUAUUAUGCUUCCCUCCCAGGAAUGUAGUGAGUGUUUGAUUGAGCACGCUGAUUUCUGGAGAUUUAAUUAGAGCUCAGUAACAGCCUGCAAGGGUCAGCCCUUCCCAAAGCCCUCCCAAAGGGAGGGGGGCAACACCACUCGGCAACAGCACAAGCACCCUGGCAGCACCCUUUGGGGAUAUUCCUCCCUUGGCAGGAAAGAGGCCCAAGCCUCGGCCCUGCCCGCCUCCAGCAUCUUGCUGCUUCCCACGGCAUAGCCAGGCAGGAGGUGGCUGGGGCUCGGCGCGACUCUACCCGGCUGCAGGGGGCUCCCCAGUGCCGCGCUGCUCAGUGCCGUGCGGGAUCUCGGCUGCAGAGCUGCAGGGCAUUCCCACCACGCAAGACUUCCACGCCGGGGACCAUCUCCCUUCCCCGUACAUAUUCCCAUUCCGUGAUUUCUCAAGGAAAUAGAGCUGAUAAUGGAAAACCUACAAUAGCCCCCUCCCUUGCCUUGUCUGCAGCCCCCCCAGGGAGAAGAGAGAUUUCAGUCCCCUGGAAAAGCUCUGUGUGCACAGAGCUGCCUUCCUGUGUCCGCAGAGCCGUGCUCGUAAUCGAUCUCAGCUGCUACAUCUUGAUGGCACUGGGCAACUCCGUGGUAAGCAGCACCUUUUGAGUUUGACAGAGCCUCUGUUAUUUGCAGCUCCUCUCUUUAAAGCGGUACGUGUUAGACACACCUCCUAAGGGACAAAAAAAAAAUGCUGCUCCUAAGCUUAAGGCAUUUAAAAUGUACACCCCACCCUGCUUAUGUGCAUCUACAGUGUGUUAAACAGCUGCAGAGAUAAAACCAUUGGAAAAGCACAGGACAAAACGUUUAGCCCUUUGGCCAUAGAAAAAAAAGUGCAUGAGGAUGAGAAUAUUUACCAGUGAUGAUUUUCACCUCUUGCAGAGGAACUGAGAAAUGCUCCCGGGGAGAGGAAGCAGAGAUAACAACUUUCAGGAAGGAGAUUUCCAAAAGAAAUUAUUUCCAUAUCCAGUGCUGUCGAGUGAUCUCUAGUGAGACUUAGCCACGCACUGUUUCCUGCCCUUAUCUUCACAUCUCCCAAGAUGUCUCCUUCUCUCGGGCAUGGAGCUGCCCUGUUGGGGUGAGCUCUGAGAGCAUAAGCUCUGAGUGUUCUCACCAUGGAAGGAGGGGUGUCCCUGUGGACUAUUUCCAUGGUGAUCUUUUCUAUUAUGCUCAGGGUUGUGGUACCUCUUCUUUUCAACACCCACAUGCACCCAGGGUCAAUAGAAACAUCUGCAGGGCUAAAGGUCCUCUCAAGGGCCAGUGAACUUGAGACAAAAUGCCAAAGCAAGUUCUCCUAGUGUUCUCACAACGUGGAGUCCCUCCCUCAGAAACUCCAGUGCUUGAUGUACCCCUUUGCUGGAGGGCUGGGUAAAGGGUUACAAGGGAUGGGCAGGCCCCAGGAGAAAGUGCUGGCUUCCCUUCCAAUCCCUUGAGGAACUCACGUCCAUUUGGUACACAGGCAAGAGGAAAUAAUCUCUCCUGUUAUCUCCCUUUCCAUCCCCAGCUGUGGAGACUGAAACACUUUAUUCCCACUCAGAGGUCCACCUCUCCCCAGUUCCCACUGGAGGCAGACAAAUCUCCUUCUGGGGAAAAGAGGUAGCUCUGGCAGCACAGUUCUCUGCUUUCUGCUCCCCUAGGCCAAACACUUACCAGAAAAAGGCAUGUAAUUGCUUAACUGUGCCCAGAGUAGUGUGUCCAUAGGAGCAUUAUAAAACACAGAUUCAGGUGAGGGAUGGCACUGAAAUAUUGACAUAUCUCAACUUCCAGCUCACCAGUGCUAGGGAUCAAGGAAGAUCUUGGUUUCUCCUUUCCAAGUGAAAUCUUGGAGCCCUCCCACACAGCAAAGAGAUGCAUUUUUUUUACUGGCCAGCAACAUUAAGCGCUGCCUUACUAACAAAAACUACCUAACUUUUAUUUCCCUUUUCUCUAUAUGACAGUGUGGUUUUCUGGGCCCAUUUGAAUCUGAAAGAUGGACAUGCUAAGAAUUAUUUAAAACAGACUGUGCUGAUGAAAUUGAAACUCCCAGCAGGCUGAGAUGAGGGUCAGUCUAAUGUUCAAACUGAUCUCCUCUUGUGCAGAGCAGAUAUGUGGUGAACUGGAAAUCAAACCUACUGUUUUAUUAAGGAUAAACACAGUAUCUGGAAGAACAUCACGCUAGGCACUGAAAAGCUGAGGAGGCAUUUUUAAUGCAAACAUGCAAGUAGUUUGUCUACGAAGAAAGCCCUAGAAAAUGCAGAUCUGCACUUUUGUAUGUAGGACUAAUUGUUAUUUGCAAAUGUUGCAGGGUUCCAGGUGAGUGAGUUGGACAGAUUUGAAAGCUGUUUCAGAACAAUCUACAAAAUAUAUCUGCUGAUAACCUUUGUAGUCUUUGUCCAGUCUUGGAAAGAUAGCUACUUAAAGUGAAGGCUCCCGGUAAAGCAUAUGUUCACUGCUGACAGAAAUACAUCGGAGUGCCGACAGAAGUGUGACUUUCAGGAGAAAGCAAAGCAGAAAGUACUUGAAGGUAUAUGGCCUCGAUUUAUGUGAUCUGGGAGUUAAAUAGUGUGAAAAAGGAAUCAAGCAUUUGUACGAUGGUGUUUAUAAAAGGAUAUGUAUUAUAGCUGUGACUUAAGACUCUUAAAAGGCCAAGAGUUGAAUGAAA